UACGAAGGGGGCUAGCGUUGCUCGGAAUUACUGGGCGUAAAGGGCGCGUAGGCGGCGCUGCGAGUCAGGCGUGAAAUUCCUGGGCUUAACCUGGGGGCUGCGCUUGAGACUGUGGUGCUAGAGGAUGGAAGAGGCUCGUGGAAUUCCCAGUGUAGAGGUGAAAUUCGUAGAUAUUGGGAAGAACACCGGUGGCGAAGGCGGCGAGCUGGUCCAUUACUGACGCUGAGGCGCGACAGCGUGGGGAGCAAACAGG
rnacentral:rRNA from 1 species